CAGCUCACCAUCGUCGUUUCAGCACCGCGGAAAGCUCCUAGCGACAGCAACUGGAACAACUGAAUUCAGCACUGUGGAAAACGCGGCCUGCUUGCUAAGUGGAAUACGAAGUCUGUACACAAUAUAUCAAGAGUUUAGCAGUCUAGCUGGUCUCUAGCUGCAGAAUAAGGCCUGGCUGGGAACAAUCAUGACGACCAGCAAUGCCACUAUGAGCAGGCGAUGGACACAUGAUCAGGACACACAUGCCUCAACAUGAAAUAAUAGCAG